rnacentral:rRNA from 1 species
GACGAACGCUGGCGGCGUGCUUAACCCAUGCAAGUCGAACGGAAAGGCCUGCUUUCCCUUGUGGAUUGCGGGUACUCGAGUGGCGAACGGGUGAGUAACACGUGAGUGAUCUGCCCCCAACUUGGGUAUAAGCCUGGGAAACUGGGUCUAAUUCCCGAUAGGACUGCAGGGUGGUGCCUGUGGUGGAAAACGAUUUUCUAGUGGUUGGGGAUGAGCUCGCGGCCUAUCAGCUUGUUGGUGGGGUAAUGGCCUACCAAGGCGGCGACGGGUAGCCGGCCUGAGAGGGUGGACGGCCACAUUGGGACUGAGAUACGGCCCAGACUCCUACGGGAGGCAGCAGUGGGGAAUAUUGCACAAUGGGCGGAAGCCUGAUGCAGCGACGCCGCGUGGGGGAUGACGGCCUUCGGGUUGUAAACUCCUUUCGACCGCGAGGAAGCCACCUGGUUGGAAGGGUGGUGACGGUAGUGGUAGAAGAAGCACCGGCUAACUACGUG